rnacentral:rRNA from 1 species
UUUGAUCAUGGCUCAGGACGAACGCUGGCGGCGUGCCUAAUACAUGCAAGUCGAACGAGAGCGACCGGUGCUUGCACUGGUCAAUCUAGUGGCGAACGGGUGAGUAACACGUGGGUAACCUGCCCAUCAGAGGGGGAUAACAUCCGGAAACGGAUGCUAAAACCGCAUAGGUCUUCGAGCCGCAUGGCUUGAAGAGGAAAAGAGGCGCAAGCUUCUGCUGAUGGAUGGACCCGCGGUGCAUUAGCUAGUUGGUGAGGUAACGGCUCACCAAGGCCGUGAUGCAUAGCCGACCUGAGAGGGUGAUCGGCCACAUUGGGACUGAGACACGGCCCAAACUCCUACGGGAGGCAGCAGUGAGGAAUAUUGGUCAAUGGACGUAAGUCUGAACCAGCCAAGUAGCGUGCAGGAUGACGGCCCUAUGGGUUGUAAACUGCUUUUAUGUGGGAAUAAAGUGGCGCACGUGUGCGCCAUUGCAUGUACCUCAUGAAUAAGGACCGGCUAAUUCCGUGCCAGCAGCCGCGGUAAUACGGAAGGUCCGGGCGUUAUCCAGAUUUAUUGGGUUUAAAGGGAGUGUAGGCGGUCUGUUAAGCGUGUUGUGAAAUUUAGGUGCUCAACAUUUAACUUGCAGCGCGAACUGUCAGACUUGAGUACACGCAGCGCAGGCGGAAUUCAUGGUGUAGCGGUGAAAUGCUUAGAUAUCAUGAGGAACUCCGAUCGCGAAGGCAGCCUGCGGGAGUGUUACUGACGCUUAAGCUCGAAGGUGCGGGUAUCGAACAGGAUUAGAUACCCUGGUAGUCCGCACUGUAAACGAUGGAUGCCCGCCGUUGGCGCCCUGCGCCUGCGGCCAAGCGAAAGCAUUAAGCAUUCCACCUGGGGAGUACGCCGGCAACGGUGAAACUCAAAGGAAUUGACGGGGGCCCGCACAAGCGGAGGAACAUGUGGUUUAAUUCGAUGAUACGCGAGGAACCUUACCCGGGCUUGAAUUGCAGUCGCUGCCUACAGAGACGUAGGCUUCCCUUCGGGGCGUCUGUGAAGGUGCUGCAUGGUUGUCGUCAGCUCGUGCCGUGAGGUGUCGGCUUAAGUGCCAUAACGAGCGCAACCCCCUUUCCCAGUUGCCAUCGGGUGAUGCCGGGCACUCUGGGGACACUGCCACCGCAAGGUGCGAGGAAGGUGGGGAUGACGUCAAAUCAGCACGGCCCUUACGUCCGGGGCUACACACGUGUUACAAUGGCCGGUACAGAGGGACGGUGCAAUGCAAGUUGCAUCCAAUCUUGAAAUCCGGUCCCAGUUCGGACUGGGGUCUGCAACCCGACCCCACGAAGCUGGAUUCGCUAGUAAUCGCGCAUCAGCCAUGGCGCGGUGAAUACGUUCCCGGGCCUUGUACACACCGCCCGUC